GAAGAUGGAACAUGACAUGGGGAAGUUCGGGCUACUGGUGACAUGGACAGGAAAAGGGCUUGUGCUUAGGGAAAACAACUUUCAGCCAAAGAGAAGUAUCACAUAGAGAAAAGGCAAACAAAACUAUAGCGCAUUCCCAUUAAAAGUUGGCCUUGUCUCUUGAAAUUCAAAGUUGACCGAAUAGAACACGCUUUCAUCGUCAAUCUGUGCAGCGCAGACCUCAGAACGUAUGGAAGCCGUGGGAAAUAGGAUAAAGUGAAACCCAGGACCCACCUUUUGGAACCUUAAUUUUGAAGCUGAAUUGUUUUGAAGACAUGGCUGGGACAAGAUCUCGGAGAGAGACGGGACGCAGGAUCUUUCGCUUGCUGUGCGUUUUAAAGAUAAAUGGUAAAACUGAACUGGAAAUCCAUCUGGCCGGCUGCCUGCUCUAAUGAAUAACCCCACUUUGGCGCGUGCAAUGUAAGCAGAAAGUUCUCUCCCGGCCUCUUUCGUCUGUCAUGAAUCUACGGGACAGCCGACAUAAUAUCUGGAUG